UGAAAAAUAUUUUUAUGAACUUUAAAUGUAUUCAACGUGUUGUAGGAAUGUAGAAAUAUUGUAAGUUAUUAAUUUAAGCAUAUCCAGACAUCGAGAGGCCUACCCAGAUAGAUUACUAUCAUAAUGUAAUUUAUACACAUACUGUAAUUUACACACAUAUGGUUUUAAGUCAAGAAUGAUGGAUGGAGACUUGUGGACCCUGUUGAUAAUAACCUUUGACCUAGCCUUGUAAGCCUGAAUUCCUGUGAAGGUUCACAUUUCUAUAGGCAAUCAUUCAUUCCAUCAUGUAAUUAGAAGUCUCAAGAAGGUCUUUGUGUGUAACUUACCAAAACAUCAUAACGUAUGGCUUUAAUCAUAGAUAUCGAAUAAUACUAAGUUACCACCUAUUUUUUCUUAGACAACCAAUUAUUGUAAAGCAGGCAAACCUUAUGUCAUUAUGUAUACGCCCUAUGUAAUUGAAUUUUAAAUGUAUAAAAUACCUUUUGCAGCUAGAAUAUUUCACCAAUACCAAUAGUAACACCAACGACCAAUACCUUUUAACAUCAAGCUUGGAUAAGAUCUAGAAGUGAAUAUACAUUGUCUAUUGGUCCAUAUGAUUUUAAAACAGACUUUUGUUGUUACCGG
rnacentral:lncRNA from 1 species